ACCUAGUUGAUAAAACUCGUUCAAUUUUUGUAAGUGUCGUCUUAAUUUGAAUAGUAUCAACGCUCUUCAUUCAUUCCACAGUUCACACUCACCAUUCACCAUCUCUCCUCUCCCACUCCUUCCAUAUUCUUACCCUCACCAACACAAAAAUUUUCGGACCAAGUAAAAAGUUUCCUCCACCUAAUAUGCGCAAGCGGAAGGAAUAUUCGUCCACCCCUAAGAACAUAUGUAGACACAACGGCGGAUCUUAGGUAGGGCGGAGGUGGGCCUGGCCCCCAUACAACAAGCAAAUGAAUAGAGGUGUGGCAAUAUGGCAUAGUGGUAAGCAAACCAUCCAAGUGUGCGCAUAAGAUCCAAGGAUCAACCUUAAAGGUCUCCAUCUCCACCCCCACACACCGAGCAUAGUAUGGAACAAUUUUGGCAAAGUAAGAUUUUUUUUCAAAAGGUUUGUGUACAAAAGUCAAAUUCAAACGAUCACAAGUUUCAGGAAACUCUAACAUUUUUUUUUAUUAAGCUGGAUGAAAGUUUGGCUCGAUAGCUUUCCAACUAGUGAUUAUGAUUCCGAUUCUGAUGAAAAUUGAAAGAGAUAUGGUUGUUUAAAGUUAGUUGCAUCUGACACAAUAGAGAGCGCCCGCUCUAAACUGUAAUGGAGCGCCCGCUCCAUAAGACUUGAAAAACUUCUACCUGCUCAUAAUUGCAUGGAGUGCUCGUUUCACUUGACAUCUGCGGAGAUUCUUGUAUUUCGAUCAAUUUUAAUAAUGUAAUGUUUAAUAAUUUUAAAGGCAUGGAACCUAACUUUUGAAAUGGGGGAAAGGAGGGCUAGCCUCCAUAAGCUUUGUUAGAGAUUUUAAUUAGGGUUUCUAGAGAGAGAAACUCUCAUCUUUUAGAGAGAUAAGUAAAAGAAACUUGUUGAAAAGUUUAAAUUUUGAAGUAUUUAAGAAGGAAACUUGAAGAUUUAAAGGCUCUUAGAGCAUUAACGAGAAUUUCUUACUUAUUUAACAUGUCAUUUUCACUCUUUUUACU